GAUCCUGGCUCAGAUUGAACGCUGGCGGCAGGCCUAACACAUGCAAGUCGAACGGUAGCACAGAGGAGCUUGCUCCUUGGGUGACGAGUGGCGGACGGGUGAGUAAUGUCUGGGAAACUGCCCGAUGGAGGGGGAUAACUACUGGAAAUGGUAGCUAAUACCGCAUAAUGUCGCAAGACCAAAGAGGGGGACCUUCGGGCCUCUUGCCAUCGGAUGUGCCCAGAUGGGAUUAGCUAGUAGG
rnacentral:rRNA from 1 species